rnacentral:rRNA from 1 species
GAUGAACGCUGGCGGCGUGCCUAAUACAUGCAAGUCGAGCGAACAGACGAGGAGCUUGCUCCUCUGACGUUAGCGGCGGACGGGUGAGUAACACGUGGAUAACCUACCUAUAAGACUGGGAUAACUUCGGGAAACCGGAGCUAAUACCGGAUAAUAUAUUGAACCGCAUGGUUCAAUAGUUAAAGACGGUUUUGCUGUCACUUAUAGAUGGAUCCGCGCCGCAUUAGCUAGUUGGUAAGGUAACGGCUUACCAAGGCAACGAUGCGUAGCCGACCUGAGAGGGUGAUCGGCAACACUGGAACUGAGACACGGUCCAGACUCCUACGGGAGGCAGCAGUAGGGAAUCUUCCGCAAUGGGCGAAAGCCUGACGGAGCAACGCCGCGUGAGUGAUGAAGGUCUUCGGAUCGUAAAACUCUGUUAUUAGGGAAGAACAAAUGUGUAAGUAACUAUGCACGUCUUGACGGUACCUAAUCAGAAAGCCACGGCUAACUACGUG